UAUAAUCAAUGAUGACUUUAAUUACGUUAUUAAUUUCAUAAUCAAACAUUUAGUAAUAAAUUAUAGUUUUUAAAGCUCGCAAGUUAUAUGCGGCUACACUUCACAAAUAAAAGAGGUGUUUUUGACUUUUAAUUUGUUCUCCCAGUUCUAGAAAUCCAUCUGUCCGUGAUGAAAAGCACUAGGAGCUAAGUAUGUACCGUUGCAGCCCGGAGACCUCCGAGUGGGAGGUGCUUACGCGGCAAGUGGGCGGGACUUCGCGAACAUCCAGGAAGUAGCGACAACUAGUGAAAAACACCUGCUGUGUCUGAAACGGCUCACUCGUUCACUAUUACCUAUAUAGCAAAUGACAUUUGAGUCCACUAUAUGGGGAAGAAGUGAAGCAUAAGGAGUGAACUAUUCCUUCACAACAAAAUCUACUACACAAAGACUGUAAGUGAUGACCGCUUUCAAAACACAGCUUCAUGAAGCAUUCGAAACCUUUACGAACCUUUUGUUUCGAAUCAGUGGUUCGGCUCGUGGAUCAAAUGUGACAAGUCACGUGAUUUCAGGAAACGAACGUCAUUACUGUUUUGACAUUUCCAUGGUUCGCCGCGAGGGGGUGUUGAUCUCAAGGUGAACCAAUGAACCAGUGUUUAAUACAUAAUUUGAAUUGUUCUCCGGUCAGUUUUAUUAUGUAGGUUUAUAAAACUGAAAUGAUUCAAUAGUGUUUGUACUGAUCCAUGGUCAGUGUUCGCCUGAGGAUACCUUAUUAAUCAUCUGACUGGAAAUCCCACCAGAUUUCCUGAUAAAAAUAAAAACAAAAGACAUGG